rnacentral:rRNA from 1 species
CGAACGGUGAAGCCCUUCGGGGUGGAUCAGUGGCGAACGGGUGAGUAACACGUGGGCAAUCUGCCCUGCACUCUGGGACAAGCCCUGGAAACGGGGUCUAAUACCGGAUAUGACCUGGGAGCGCAUGCUCCUGGGUGUAAAGCUCCGGCGGUGCAGGAUGAGCCCGCGGCCUAUCAGCUUGUUGGUGGGGUGAUGGCCUACCAAGGCGACGACGGGUAGCCGGCCUGAGAGGGCGACCGGCCACACUGGGACUGAGACACGGCCCAGACUCCUACGGGAGGCAGCAGUGGGGAAUAUUGCACAAUGGGCGAAAGCCUGAUGCAGCGACGCCGCGUGAGGGAUGACGGCCUUCGGGUUGUAAACCUCUUUCAGCAGGGAAGAAGCGCAAGUGACGGUACCUGCAGAAGAAGCACCGGCUAACUACGUGCCAGCAGCCGCGGUAAUACGUAGGGUGCGAGCGUUGUCCGGAAUUAUUGGGCGUAAAGAGCUCGUAGGCGGCCUGUCGCGUCGGAUGUGAAAGCCCGGGGCUUAACCCCGGGUCUGCAUUCGAUACGGGCAGGCUGGAGUGUGGUAGGGGAGAUCGGAAUUCCUGGUGUAGCGGUGAAAUGCGC